rnacentral:tRNA from 1 species
GAGGGUAUAGCUCAGUGGUAGAGAGCACAUGCUUAGCAUGCAUAAGGUCUUGGUUUCAAUCCCCAGUGUCUCUA